rnacentral:rRNA from 1 species
AUGUGCAAGAGGAAAUCCAGAGCUUGGGGAAUCUUGGUUUGUAAGAUGCUAUGUAAAUGGAUUGAGAGAUGGCAUCAAAUUCCAGAUCAGACCACUGAGACUCAAACAUUAACUGAUGCUUACUGGUUGGCUAAAGAUGUAGAGCCCUGCCACCCACCAGUGACAACAGUUCCAAAAAGAAGUAAUAUCUCUUACAACAACUACUACCAGAAAUCCUCUGGGAAUCUCCCUGUUAAGCAGAACAUCACUCCCUCUGCUCAGCAGCAAAUUCCUAUCAGGCAGACUGAAAUUCCUGUUAACAAUGCACAGAAAAUCAGAAAAGUGGGAGAAUGUUGGAGAUGUGGAGACAAGUGGAUGCAUGGCCACAAGUGCAAAUUAGUGCCAACUGUACAUGCUAUGCAACAGGAAAUGGAGGAGCAAGUAACUUAUGAUGUGGAAGAGCAACAGAGUGAGGAACAAAUGGAGCCAGUAUCUGAAGGAGAUCAAGCUAUGUUCAUUUCUGCAUUUGCAAUGGGACAACAACUUGCAGUGCCUACUCCAACAGUGAUAAUUCAUAUUAAUGGAAAAAGGGCAGUAGCCUUACUAGACUCUGGCAGCACUACUUCUUUCCUCAAUCAGGAUUUUGCAGUGAAGGCCAACUGCAACAUGUUACCUGUAAAACCUAGAAACAUUUCAGUAGCUGGAGGUGGAACACUAGUAUCUGCUACAGUAGUUCCCAACUGUGAAUUUCAGAUUGCUAAGUUGACACUAGCACACAACUUCAGAGUAAUACCUCUGCCCAGUCAUGAUGUUAUUUUAGGCUAUGACUGGUUCAUUGCUGUUAGCCCUGUAUCCUUUGAUAUACCUGCACAGCAAUUUGGGUUCACACAUGGAGGGAAACAAACUGUGUCUACAACAAUGUUUUCCACAGCUGCUAAUUUUAAGGAAGUGCCACCAAAAAGAGUGGACAAGCUCUUGGAGAAAGGACCUGAAGUAUUCCUUUGUCAAAUCCAUAAUAUACUUAUGGAUGCUCCUGAGGAUUUCAAAACUCUUCCUCAAAUACAAAAGUUACUUUUGGAAUAUGCAGAUAUGUUUGAAGAACCUAAAGCAUUACCACCUCAGAGAGCUUUAGAUCACAAAAUUCCUCUAGUACCUGGAGCUGCUCCACCUCAGGUCAGACCAUAUAGAGUACCUCAGCACCAAAAGAAAGAGAUGGAGGAACAAAUAAAAAAGUUAUUGGCUGCACAUUUGAUAAGACACAGUCAAAGCCCCUUUGCAGCACCAGUUCUCCUAGUUAAGAAAAAAGAUGGAUCUAUGAGGCUCUGUACUGAUUACAGAAAGCUCAAUGCUCUCACAAUUAAGAACAAAUUUCCUAUACCAGUUAUAGAAGACUUGCUAGAUGAACUGCAUGGAGCAAAGUACUUCACAAAAUUGGACUUAAGAUCUGGAUACCAUCAGAUCAGAAUGUCACCUGAAGAUAUACCAAAAACUGCUUUCAGAACAUUUUUAGGGCAUUUUGAAUACUUGGUUAUGCCAUUUGGUCUUUCAAAUGCUCCUGGUACAUUCCAAGAAUUGAUGAACACUAUCUUUGCACCUUACUUGAGGAAGUUUGUUCUGGUUUUCUUUGAUGAUAUAUUAAUAUUCAGCAAAUCUCUCAAGGAACACUUGGAACAUAUUAAACUGGUAAUGCAGUUGCUCAGGGAACAUCAGCUCUAUGCAAAGAUGUCUAAGUGUGUAUUUGCAGUUCAGCAAGUGGAGUACUUAGGCCAUGUUAUAUCUGAAAAGGGUGUAGCAACAGACCCACAGAAAAUUUCAGCUAUUAGAGAGUGGCCAACUCCUGAAAAUAUCACUAAACUAAGAAGUUUUCUGGGUUUAGCUGGUUAUUACAGAAGAUUUAUUAAGGGAUAUGGUGUGAUCUGCAGACCCCUUCAUGAUUUGUUAAAAAAGCGCAACUUCUCCUGGCAAGCUGAGCAUAGCCAAGCCUUUCAGCAACUAAAGCAAGCUCUGACAUCUGCCCCUGUGUUGGCUCUACCAGAUUUCACACAACCAUUUGUGUUGGAAACUGAUGCUUGUGGCAAAGGCAUUGGAGCUGUGUUAAUGCAACAAGGAAGGCCUAUUUCUUACUACAGUUCUUCUCUGUGCCCCAGAAAUGCUGCUCUAUCCACUUAUGAAAAAGAAGCCCUGGCCAUAUUGGAAGCUCUUAAAAGGUGGAGACACUAUCUACUGGGAAAAGAGUUAAUCAUAAAAACUGAUCAGCAGUCACUGAAAUUUAUAACUGACCAGAAAAUCACUGAAGGAGUUCAGCACAAGCUAAUGAUGAAGUUAUUGGAAUUUAACUUCACAAUUCAAUAUAAGAAAGGAAUUCAGAACAAAGUAGCUGAUGCCCUGUCAAGGUUGCUCCCUAAAUGCAUGGCCAUCUCUGCUGCUACUCCUGUUUGGGCAGAAGAACUAGUAGAUAGUUACCAAAAGGAUCCUGACAGCCUACAGUUGUUGGAGAAGCUACUACUGAAGAAAGAUCAUACAUUGUCAGAUUACUCCCUCACAGCUGGCAUUAUAAGACAUAAAGGAAAAAAUUCUGGUAGGCAAUAUUCCUGA